UAUAGUUAUAUAUGAGCUGCCGUGAUUGAAAACUUGAGCUACCUUUCUGGGGCAAAAUUGCUUGCAACUGGAUUUAAGGAAGAAGUUGGCAGAUAGUGAGUCAUUUACAAGGAUUUUUGUUGUUGCCCUUUGUACAUAUUUACAUGUUGUGUUCCUGAAAGUUUGAACAGAGAAAGUUAUGCUUUCUCCCUUCCUUAAUUGAGUUACUAAAGAAAAUAAAAUGCAUAUCCCAAGGAAUAUAUGGGCUUGUAGGUUUGGCUAGAAACUUGGAGAGACAGAAGAAGGCAGGGGGGAGAAAUGUCUUUAGGAAAAACACUAAUGGAAGAAGACGAUUCUGGAGAAUUUCAUCCCCAAUACUAACAUUUUACAGACGAGGGACAGCAAUUAGUGACUCACUUUUUCAAGGCUUGAAAGUUUUGUUUUCUUUUUAAAAGGGAUCUGUGAGGUUCUAGAGAAGGGGACAUGUGCUAGACACCGGAAGUACCAGGUAACUUCCUUCCUUCCCGAUCCGCCAUUGUUCUCCCGAUCACCUUGAAUCUGCUUUUCGGAGGGGUUUCCCUGGUUCACUCUCUUAUUCUUUCUCAGUCCUGAGGUUCUUUUCCCUCCAAAUAGAGGAGCCCGAGAAUCGUGACAUCUGUGCUCCUGACAACCAAGCCCCAGAUUUUUGUCAUAGGGCCAGUUCCUUCCUCUCUCUGAGCCUCAUUUCCUCUUUACAUAUUGGGAGGAGCUUGGAUAAGAUGAUGUCUGAAGUCUCUUCAAAUAAUAAAUAUUAUUAAUAACAGGACUAGAAGCAACGAACUGAAAUAUAAUAGAGAUAAAUGCCUGCAUUUAAGUUUUUUUUUUUAAUUAUUUGUAUAAAGGAUGGGUGAUAGAAUUGGCAACUGUAUAUGGGGAAAUAAUUUGAGAGAUUAUGCUAGAACAAAUGUUUAAUCUGAGUAAACUGUUGCAGCUAUCACCUGCCUACCUUCUCUUUGUGCUCCUCUAAACUAAUGCAAUUUAAGAAACACCUUAUGGUCAUGGGAGUUGGUAGUUUUGCUGUACUAUAUCCUGGAUAGUCUGCAUCUUGAAUAUUAUAUUUAUUUGCCAACAUUUAAAGAACAUUGACAAGCUAGAGAUGAUAUGUUGUCCUGAGAAGGAAAGUAAAAACUAGCAAUUUGUUGCCUUUUGAACAUUGGUUUGACUUUUGCAAAGAACCAAAACAUUUCUUGGAAACUCAGAAUGUUAAUCCUGGAAGAGACUAUGGAGACUAUGUAGUACAACUUAGUUAUUCAAUGAUGAUGAAAGAGGCCCAAAAAGGGAAAGUAAUUUACCCAAUGUCACCCAACUAAUUAAUAGGAGAGCCAGGUUUCCUGACUGCCAGCCAACCUGCUUGCCCUUACUACAUCAGACUUAAAGGAAAGCCUGGUUGAUAGGAUGGAUGAUCCAGUGUUUGUUUUGGUUGGCUUUCCUUUUGUGUAUGUGCAUGUUUAAAUAAACAAAUAAAAUGUGGCUAUAAAGUUUUUUAA
rnacentral:lncRNA from 1 species